rnacentral:tRNA from 1 species
GGCUCGUUGGUGUAGUCCGGUCAAUCAUUCAGCCCUUUCGAACCUAAAGAAGAAAGGCUGUGACCCGGGUUCAAAACAAUUCAAAAGAUUGAUGAAAGUCCCGGACGAGCCA